rnacentral:rRNA from 1 species
UGAGGAAUAUUGGUCAAUGGGCGCGAGCCUGAACCAGCCAAGUCGCGUGAGGGAUGACGGCCCUACGGGUUGUAAACCUCUUUUGUCGGGGAGCAAAUUCCGUUACGUGUAACGGAGUCGAGAGUACCCGAAGAAAAAGCAUCGGCUAACUCCGUGCCAGCAGCCGCGGUAAUACGGAGGAUGCGAGCGUUAUCCGGAUUUAUUGGGUUUAAAGGGUGCGUAGGCGGACUGUCAAGUCAGCGGUAAAAUACGGGGGCUCAACCUCCGCCCGCCGUUGAAACUGACGGUCUUGAGUGGGCGAGAAGUAUGCGGAAUGCGUGGUGUAGCGGUGAAAUGCAUAGAUAUCACGCAGAACUCCGAUUGCGAAGGCAGCAUACCGGCGCCCAACUGACGCUCAUGCACGAAAGCGUGGGUAUCGAACAGGAUUAGAUACC